rnacentral:rRNA from 1 species
UACGUAGGGUGCAAGCGUUAAUCGGAAUUACUGGGCGUAAGCGUGCGCAGGCGGCUUUGCAAGACAGAUGUGGAAUCCCCGGGCUUAACCUGGGAACUGCGCUUGUUACUGGCAGACUGGAGUGUGGGCAGAGGGGGGUGGAAUUCCACGUGUAGCAGUGAAAUGCGUAGAGAUGUGGAGAAUACCGAUGGCGAAGGCAGCCCCCUGGGAUAACACUGACGCUCAUGCACGAAAGCGUGGGGAGCAAACAGG